rnacentral:lncRNA from 1 species
GUUCUUUUGCUGUUUGUAAUAAAUCUUGCUGCAGCUAACUUUUUGGGUCUGCGCCGCUUUUAUGAGCUGUAAUACUCACCGCGAAGGUCUGCAGCUUCACUCCUGAGGCCAGCAAGACCAUGAACCCACCGGAAGGAACGAAACUCCAGACGUGCAGCCUUUAAGAGCUGUAACACUCACCGUGAAGGUCUGCAGCUUCGCUCCUGAAGUCAGCGAGACCACGAAACCACCAGAAGGAACAAACUCCAGACACACCAUCUUUAAGAACUGUAACACUCACCGCGGGGGUCUGCUGCUUCAUUCUUGAAGUCAGUGAGACGAAGAAGCCACCAAUUCCGGACGCACUACAACAUGAAUGAAUCUCAAAAAUAUUAUGUUCCUUGAGAAAGAGGAGUCAAAUCCAAAAAGGACAUUAGUUGAGACUCUGAAGACCAUCCCUAUUUUGGGAAAGCUCAAGAUGGGUGGCAGCAGGACCCUGGUUCCCAUUAAGGAGGCCUGAGUUUCCAGCUGCUCUGCUCCCAUUGCAGCAAGGCAAUGGACAUUUGAAUAAGGGAAUCAAGAACCCUGCACAGCACUCCUGUUCUGGGGCCCAGGACAUUGACUACAAAGCAUUCUUCUCCAGCUAGAGAGAAAACAAGAGGAGUAGAACAAACAAAAGACCAGGAUUCACAAAACCUUCCAUGUCCGAGUUACUAACCAACUGAUUGGAGGCCCCCACUCAUUCACUUAUUCAUUCAUUCUUCUAAGAACAGAUUUAUUAGUUAGCUAAUGCUGAAAGACAACAACCAUGGAAAUCUCAAUGUAUGUGGUGUGCUGACCUGGACAUAUUCUUCCCCUUGGCAUGGCAGAAGGACAAGAGAUCAAGUGGAAAUGUACAAGACCUGUAAAGGCUUGGAAUUAGCAGCACCUCACUUCUACCUUGACCAAAGAAGGUCACAUGGCCCACCCAAAGCCAAGGGUGGGGAAAUAGAGUCGAAUAAAGGAAGGGGUGAAUAUUUCCG